GACAGGGAGUGAGUCUCAGGAGAUCUGAUAGUUUUAUAAGCAUCUGGCCUUUCUCUUGCUUGCACUCCAUCUCUCCUGCUUUUCUUCUGUUAUGAUUCUAAGUUUCCCGAGGCCUCUCCAGCACUGCAGAACUAUAUCCAUUCACUGGCACCUGCUGCUUGAAGACAUGAAGAAAGAGACCAUCUUCAGUGGGCCAAGGCGGGAGAUCAUUCUGCAGCUUUAUAGGAAUGCUAUUCUGGAUAAUGACUGGAACAUUUCAAACACAGUAGGUCCAAAUGAAGAUGCCGUGGAAGUAAGAGAUAAGCAGUAGAAUAUAUGUUGAGAAUAUCAUCUUGUGAGUGCUUUAAGCAGAGAAUAUGUUACACUAAAAUGUUCUUAUUACUAUUGCUAUACAUUUGUCUCUGUAAAUUUGAUUUAUCAAUGAAAAGGCCUAUUUAUCAGACAGUAAUACAAUGUAAAUGUAACAAUUAAAUUACAUAAUGGAAGUAUUUCCCAGGAGAAAUAUUUUGGCUUCGUUUACGGAAAAAAAAACCCAACUUAUAUAAGUUAAAAAUAUAAGCUAAUGGGAAAGCUGCAUUUGAAAGAACAUUGUGAAUUAUUUCAUAAUUGUACAUGCAUUUGACAGUUACACUAGGCAAAGUAAUAAUAUGGUUCUCUUAAAAGUCAGAACUCUGUCAAAAUCUGUUUCUGGGGAAAUUAUUAGAUUUAAUAGGUAAUUCAUCUGCUUAUAUUUUCACAUUGCUUAGUGAUUUCUAACAUAUCUUGCAAGCAAUCAUACUCAAGGCUUUCUUGGUAUUUUAAUGAAUACAAAUUAUCGCAUUGAAUCUCAAAAAUUAAAUCAAGCAGAAUCCCAUAUUUCACUUGACAUACAGACAGAAAUAUUGAGAAAUCUGAUGUUUGAUCUCCUGUCAUUUCUCUUAAGGGUACCCCUUCCAAAACUCUUUGUUGUUGUUUUCAGCUAUAUGUAAAAACUUUCACAGAAAAAAUAGUUUUUGAACUGUUGAAAAACAUCCAGUUUGUAGUUGUUAAUACUUCUUUCCUGUAUGUGGAAAAACAAACAAACAAACAAAAUGGGUCUGAAUCCAAUUCAUAUGUAAAUUGUGAAUUACUACAUCAGGCAAGUACAUUAACUUUUAAAUUUUUGAUUCAGUACAUUGUUGACUCCGACGUAUUGCUGCGCCCACAAAAUAAUGAAACUACAAUUUAAUUUCUCUUGCCUUGAUAUUUGGCAUGUGUAUAUUAAUUAUCCUCAUUUUUCAGAUUAUGUAACAGAUUUAUUUAUAAGUUUAUUUGUGGAAAGAAGCCAAAUAAAUGUUUAAAAAGCAUUUUCAUCAUAAUUUCUAAUAAUUCAGAAGCCAUUAAACAUAAUACCAAUGCAAUCCAAUUUCCUCAGCAUUAUUCUAAUAUUUGUGUUUAUAACAAAUUAGAGUCACACUUGCAUAAAAUUUUAGAGUUGGAAGGAACCUCGGAGAGCAGUUCAUUAAAUUCCUAGUUUCACUGAGAAAGAGAUUCAGAGAAGUUACAGAGACUUGACCAAAAUUACUGAGAGAGUUAAUUGUAAAGUUCCCACUUGAACCUAUUUUUCCCAAUUUCUGUUCCGGUACCAUUUCCAUUGACACAGAGCAUAUAUCCCAAAUUUCAUGAAUAUACCUGAGAACAUCUCAACAUAAAAGUGGCAAGUAGCAAAAUUGUUAAAAGUUGAAAUUCCAAAACUAUAUAUAAUUUUAUGGAAGAAAACGUUAGAAAUAUUACUUCCCCUUGUCAAAAAAUUUGCUAAUGUAUGAUUUUUGUUUUUUGUAAAUCCUUUACCAGUGUUUAUAUGCAUCACCUAUAAUUUUUUCUUUAUUAUUAAUAUAAAAUAUUUAAUACAUACCAAACCCAAUAUGUUAUGUAUUUUUAUAAAGAAAAAUAACGUAUAAAAACUAAAUCUGUUACAUCACCAAAGAAACUGAAUGUAGUAAUAAUUGGCACUAACUUUUCUACCUCGUCCUCACCCCAUCUCCUGCCUCUCACUCAUAAGUCACUACUAUCUUGGGUCUUGUAUUUAGCUUUCUCUUGUCUUGGUAAAUUAUUUUAUCACAUACAUAUGCAUUGCUAGGAAACAUAUUUGUAAGUUUUAUUUAGUUUUAAGCUUUACAAAAGUAGCCUUAUUCUGCAUGCAGUCCUCUGGGAAUCACUUUCUCUCAACUUCAGGUUUCUAACCUUUAUCUGGGAUGAUCCAUGUAGAUUUAGUCCAUUCAUUUUUACUGUUGCAAACGGUUCUCUUUUUGGUAGUAUAAAGCAAAUAAUUCAUCCCUUCUCUGAGGAAAUAAUGUUUUCUGAAAUAUCUUGAACAUGACUCCUGAAGCACAUCUGCAGACAUUUCUCCAAGUUAUAACUGAUUCAGGACAACCGAGCCUCCAAACUGGGGUUUCGCCCAGGGAGGUUCCUGGCUUCACCUGGGAAAGAAUUCAAGGUCAAGUGCGUGUUGUUAGACAGCAAUCUCUCACUGAGUCGUGAUGCUCCUUUCGGAGCAGGUCUAACUCACAGGCAGUGCUCCCAGAAUCCCCAAAGGAUGGGCUCUUGGCCACUGUACUUAUUUCCACUUAUACCCUCCUUCAAUUACCUGCAAAAUUAAGGGUCAGGCUAAUACAAAUUGAGGCUCAAGUUAUUUAGAACUUUGUAGGGAAAGGGCGGCAAUUUCCAGCUGGUUGCCAUGGAGAGGGGCAGCAAACUCCUAGAUAUUGCCAUAGCACUUGUAAAUUGUCAUGACGCUGGUGGGAGUGUCUUAUGCUAAUGAGCAAUGAGGGCCGCUAGGGAUUGCUUUGGUUACCAUCUGCUGGUUCCUGCAAGUUUCUUCACUUCAUAACUAUGCAUGGAAUUUCUGGGUUGUAUGCUGUACAAAUGCCAAAUUGUUUUCCAAGUUGGUUCUACCAUUAUCUUCCCGCAGAAAUGUAUACGAGUUCCUGUUGAUCCAUAUCUUAUCCAAUAGUUCAUAUUGUUAUGCUCUUUUAUUCCCUUAUUUCACAAGUGUAAAAUGAUUUCUCAUUGUGGUUGUAACCUCCGUUUUUGGAAUUUGUUGACGUUGAACAUACAUGUGUCCUCUUCUGUGAAGUUACUAUUCAAAAUUUCUUUUGAAUAAGUGUCUCUGACUUGAUAAUUUAUAUUUUGUGUUUCAGUACUUGUCUGUUGUGUAUGUUGUGAAUAUCUUCUAGAUUUUGAUUCAUCUUCACUUUUUAAACUCUCCUUUAUUGAACAGAACUUCUAAAUUUAAAGGUAGUUGAGUGUUUCAAUCUGUUAUUUUAAUUAGCACAUUGGGUCUGUUAAGAAAAUACUUUCCUAUUAAAAGGUCAGAAAAAUAUUGUUUUAUUUUCUAAAAGAGGUGUGUGUGUGUCUGUGUGUUGUGAAGCAGAAGUCUGAUAUCAGGUUUUAUGGAUCAAAAAUAUAUAUUAUGUUUUUGUUUGUUUAUGCAUCAAAAAUAUAUAUUUGUUUAUGCAUCAAAAUAUAUAUAUUAUGCAUCAAAAACAUUUUGUUUAUGCAUCAAAAAAAUAUAUUAAUAGUUUAUUAAACAGGUCCCACCAGGCCUGCUUUGUCAUAUAUUGAAACUCCAUAAGUAUGUUCUGAGGCUUCUAUCCUCUCCCUUAAUUUUCAUUGUUUUAUUUUAAAUUUUGAUUAUUUAUGGAUUAUAUCUAAGCCUCCACUUCUUUAGUUUCUUGGCUGGUCUUUCUUUUAUAUACAUUUGAGAUUUAGCUUGACCAGAUCCAUGAAAAAAAAAACUGUUGGUAUUUGGACUUUCAUAGAAUAUAUCUCAACUUUGGGAGAAUUGACAUCUUUGGAACGCUAUUUCUUUCCAACCAAGAGCAUGGUAUUUACUCUGUAUGUUUACGGUCUUUUUAAUGUAGAGUUUCAGCAUUUUUUCCACGUAUGUUUUGUACGCAUUUUGUAAGAUGUAUUUUUAGUUGGUUUGUUGUUUAUAUUGAUAGUGUACAUAAUAGGUUUUUGCUGUUUGUUUCUGACUGCUUUAUUGAGAUGUGAUUGAUGAAAUGUGUUUUUAAACGCAAUUUUAAAAUUUUGGCUUUGGUAUACAUACUAAAAAUAUGCCAAUUUUUUUCCAGUGAGCUUAUACCUGUAUAACAUGCUACUCUCAUAUUAUUGUGAGUAGUCUGCCUGUAAUAUUUCUUUUUAAUUUCAAGGUAGAUAAUAUAAUUAUAGUUACUUCUUCCGAAUUCUUAUGUUUUUAUUCCUUUUUUUCUUUCCCUGCAUUGUUUCCAUGAUCUAGUACAUAGUUGAAGAGAAUCUAAGAAAGCAAGCAUCUUUGUGUUGCUCCUGAUUUUAAAGAUAAUAGCUUCCAAUUAAUCCUUAUUACAAGAUAUGUAUGUUUAUUUUUAUUUGUCCCAAGUACAUAGUACCAUUUAUAUCUAUAGAUUUAUGUUUUAAUGAGAUUUGGAAUAUUUUCAGCCAUCAUAUCUUCAAAUAUUAUCUCUCACUUAUUUUCUCUACUGUCUCUAAUUGUUGUGUAUGUGAUCUUCUCAUUCUAUCUUUAAUACAUUUUUAUGAUUAUUUCAUAUUUUUGUCGUACCUCUUAAUAUUUCACUUUAUCUUAUAUUAUUUACUAGAUUGUAUUUUCCAUUUCUCUGUUUCUUUUCAACUCCGUUUAAUAUAUUGGUAAACUUUAUGUCGACUUUCAAAUUUAAAUAAUUAAAUAUACCUAUAUAAUUAAUGUUAUAUGAUAUAUAUUUAGACAUACAGCCUAGAAGUUUUGUUUUCAAAUUUCUGCAUUUAUCCCUGAUAAUGUGUUACUGCUGAUCAGUCUUUG
rnacentral:lncRNA from 1 species